rnacentral:rRNA from 1 species
UACGUAGGGGGCAAGCGUUGUCCGGAUUUAUUGGGCGUAAAGAGCGUGUAGGCGGCCAAGUAAGUCUGCUGUGAAAACUCGAGGCUUAACCUCGAGCUGUCGGCGGAACUAUUGGCUAGAGUCCGGAAGAGGAGAAUGGAAUUCCGGUGUAGCGGUGAAAUGCGUAGAUAUCAGGAGGAACACCGGUGGUGUAAACGGCUUCUGGACCAUAACUGACGCUGAGGCACGAAAGCGUGGGUAGCAAACAGG